rnacentral:rRNA from 1 species
GUGCACCAGGCGCGAAUCCUCCACAAUGCACGAAAGUGUGAUGGGGUUACCCUGAGUGCCAUCCGAUGAGGAUGGCUUUUCACCAGUGUAAGGCGCUGGUGGAAUAAGGGGAGGGCAAGGCUGGUGCCAGCCGCCGCGGUAAAACCAGCUCCUCGAGUGGUCGGGAUGAUUAUUGGGCCUAAAGCGUCCGUAGCCGGUCUGGUAAGUCCCCGGUUAAAUCCGGCAGCCUAACUGUCGGCCUGCUGGGGAUACUGCUAGACUUGGGGGUGGAUAGGCUAAAGGUACUCCCAGGGUAGGGGUGAAAUCCUAUAAUCCUGGGGGACCACCGAGUGGCGAAGGCG